GCGAACGCUGGCGGCAGGCCUAACACAUGCAAGUCGAACGAACUCUUCGGAGUUAGUGGCGGACGGGUGAGUAACACGUGGGAACGUGCCUUUUGGUUCGGAAUAACUCAGGGAAACUUGUGCUAAUACCGAAUGUGCCCUUCGGGGGAAAGAUUUAUCGCCAUUAGAGCGGCCCGCGUCUGAUUAGCUAGUUGGUGAGGUAACGGCUCACCAAGGCGACGAUCAGUAGCUGGUCUGAGAGGAUGACCAGCCACACUGGGACUGAGACACGGCCCAGACUCCUACGGGAGGCAGCAGUGGGGAAUCUUGCGCAAUGGGCGAAAGCCUGACGCAGCCAUGCCGCGUGAAUGAAGAAGGUCUUAGGAUUGUAAAAUUCUUUCACCGGGGACGAUAAUGACGGUACCCGGAGAAGAAGCCCCGGCUAACUUCGUG
rnacentral:rRNA from 1 species